GAGCGGUAACAGGUGUAGCAAUACAUGCUGACGAGCGGCGAACGGGUGAGUAAUGCUUCGGAAUCUGCCCAGUAGUGGGGAAUAACCAGCCGAAAGGUUGGCUAAUACCGCAUACGUCCUACGGGAGAAAGCGGGGGACCGUAAGGCCUCGCGCUAUUGGAUGAGCCGAAGUCGGAUUAGCUAGUUGGCAGGGUAACGGCCUACCAAGGCGACGAUCCGUAGCUGGUCUGAGAGGACGACCAGCCACACUGGGACUGAGACACGGCCCAGACUCCUACGGGAGGCAGCAGUGGGGAAUAUUGGACAAUGGGGGAAACCCUGAUCCAGCGACGCCGCGUGUGUGAAGAAGGCCUGCGGGUUGUAAAGCACUUUUAGUGGGGAUGAAAAGCCCAGNGGAUAACACCUCUGGGUCUUGACCUAACCCACAGAAAAAGCACCGGCUAACUCUGUG
rnacentral:rRNA from 1 species